rnacentral:pre_miRNA from 1 species
AUUUCAGUAUAGGUGUAUCCCAUGCAAUAUUUGGGAUAUACUUAUACUAAAA